rnacentral:rRNA from 1 species
AGUGAACGCUGGCGGCGUGCUUAACACAUGCAAGUCGAACGAGAACAGAAGAGAGCUUGCUCUUUUGCUGCUAAGUGGCGCACGGGUGAGUAAUAUAUAGGUAAUAUGCCUCUUACUAAGGGAUAAUUGAUGGAAACGUCUUGUAAUACCUUAUAUGCCUUUUAUACAUAAGUAUGUAAAGGGAAAGAUUUAUCGGUAAGAGAUUAGCCUGUACGGUAUCAGAUAGUUGGUGGGUAAUGGCCUACCAAGUCUAUGACACCUAACUGGUUUGAGAGGAUGAUCAGUCACACUGGAACUGAGACACGGUCCAGACUCCUACGGGAGGCAGCAGUGGGGAAUAUUGCACAAUGGACGAAAGUCUGAUGCAGCAACGCCGGCGUGGAGGAUGACACAUUUCCGGUGCGUAAACUCC